CAAAGACGGGGCUGUAGGUUGGCCAUGUGAGUAGCACCUGUGUCAGUAACUGGGACUGCUUCAGAUAGAGAAGGGCCUGGAGCAGCAGCCAUGUCUGUGGCUUUGUGUUUGUUCCUGACUUAGUACCUGUAAGGUGAUAGAGUCUGGAAAGAGCAGGCUUUAGUGUGUGUAACAGAGUAAAGGCUUAUUGGAUGAGGCUGCCUUCACAUGCAGUAGAGCUCUUCUGAACCCUGAGUAAGAAGAAAACAGAAGUUGCCGUGUUACCAGCGUGCGGCUUCCAGCAAUUUAUGUGUGAUUUUAGCUGCCAUUCUUAGAGGAAAUAUUCUUCCUGCUACAAAAAGUUGGAAUGCGUGGCCAUCCCUGCGGCGUGAGCCAUGUUUAUGACAAGCUUUCAGAAAGAUAAUAUUUCACAUCGUACUGAGAAUUAUACUGCUGUGUGCACCGUGACCCAAGAGUGACAAGGAUGUGAAUCCUGUGCAUUGCUGACCUCGCCUGGGCUGACUCAGACUCUCAAACCUCAGACCUCAUUGCAGAGAACAAUUGCAUCUACAAAGACGUCAGAGGGGCAGUGGCAGGUGGUACAAGAUAGAGCAUUCACUGGAAAGCUGUGAAGUGGCAGCAUGAGACUGCAGAUGAAAUGGCAACUUCACUCCUCAGAAUAAACAUACGUUGGGACACCCAAGUAGGAGACUAGUUUGGCAUGGGAGGAAGAAAGCCUGGCUUUAGAAGAGGAGUUCAGACAGGAAGCAGCAAUAUUCCAAGAAGAUUUCCGAGUCAAACAGGAGAGGAACUGGCUUCUCGAAGAGCGUAUUGCAGAGAUUCCCUAAAACAUUCAGCUGCACAGCUGGAGCAGGGGAAGAGCACAGACCUGCUGACAGUCACCGGAGUAACUCAGGGCAGUGGCUGUGCACAGGGGUGAGGCUGGGCGCUGCCGGGAGCCCACGGGGCAGAUGGCUGGCAGAGCCUUGUUGGUCAGCCCUGCUGGUUCUUGCUUGUGUUGCCAUUGUGUGGUGAGCUAAGGUAAGUCACAUGAACCCUGAGCAGAGCUUUUGGUUCACUGUUCCGCGUGCUUUCCUCGCGAUGGAAGACUGGUUCUUCCUCGUGCCCUAGCAGUGUUCAGCUGCACGUACACAAGUGACGCAGCUCAAAGUAAGCUACCAGCUCAGCUGUAAAUAACUCGUGUAACACCGCAUCUGUGCGAAUCUGCCUCUCAAAACAGGAUCUGCAGAUGUGAUUAAUUAGGAGCGCGAGAGGAGCCGCUUUGCUCCCGGAGCUGUUUUCAGCAUGCCUGUGUGGUGGUGUCCGGCUGCCAUCUGGCGUCGAGUGCCCAACGGGGGCCGCAGUAGGGCAGGGCCCCCCAAAGCAUCCCCUUGCCAGCCCAGCCUGCCCACAGGGCUGCUCGAGUGGCAACCUCUGGGCGACGGCCAAGCCGUGAGCAAAUCCUGCCCAGACUCACCAGGGCCCCCCGCCACGGUAUCUCCCGCAUUCCUGCGGCAGAUUUGGUAUUUCUUAUUGUUUUCCCCAUCUCUGGGGGAGCGGCUGCAGCUGCCUGGCCGGCCUGCUGGGGCAGGAGCUGGCGGAGCCUUGUGUGCGGGUCCCACAGCUAGCCGGGGGCUUUGGAAAAUCUGCGUCAGUCUUCUCACCCUGCAUCGGCACGUAGGGAGCUGGGGCUGAUCAGGAGGGGUGAGAUAAAAGUGAGGGAAGGACAGAAAGCUUGAAGAGUACAGAGGAGCUGUGCUGCACCACCAGCGUGGGAACAGCGUCUGCUCAGUGUGCACUGCCCUGUGCCCAGCGCUCGCCCUGCAGCUCUGCUGAAAUCACUGCGCUGGUAUGCAGCAGCAGAGCUCCUCACAUGUGCCAGCAGCAGUGCCUGCUGACUGGUGUGCACUGAGCUGGAUUGUAGUUGGGAGUAGGGGCAACAGUGGGAGUGACUGCUCUGAGUUGGGUGAGGAGGGAAAAUGGAGACAGAGUUGUCUUUGGACUCGUGCUGCACAGCGUGGGUCUCUGCAGAGGUUGCAAAUACCAGGGAGCAGCCUGGCCAGUGAUAGAGACAGAGGAAAUGUGGAGAGGCUUUUGCUGAGUCACACUGGGAUGGGGAGAACUGCACAAAUCAGCAGAGGGGGCAGUGGCUCCCAGCAGGUUACCUGAUGACAUUGGGUGAGACUGGACCACCAGCAGCACAGGAGUUGGGCUGUGGGCCUUGGGAUGGUGGUUGUCAGCCACACAUCUGCCUAAGCUGUGCCCUGGGCUGGCAGCAAUCCCCUGGGCUUCAGCUCUGCUUGCUUUUAAUCCCGUCGCAUGUGUUCAAAUUGGACUUGCUGCUCAUGUUAAAUGAAAGGCUGCAGAUUCCUUGUGCAGGUAGAAGUAGCCGACACAAGCCUCUGCAAAUUGCACUCAUGCUUGCAAGCACCCCCAUAGGCCCCCUGUGACACAUUGGUGAUGCACAAGCAAGUCACUUGUGUGUGUGGAGAACAGGCAGCAGAAAUAACAGCAGGCAGGCCCUUGCACGAGGUAGGGAGGCCUGGAUCCUGUAAAAGGCUGUGGUGUGCUGUAACUGCAGGAAGCAGACCUGUUAAUUUCCGAAGUGUACAAAGCUGGUGUUAGAGAAGGUUCCACUGACAGGCACAAGAGCUCUGUGAGAACUGAGAAUGCUCAAUGGAGUGGAAAGGGGAGUUAUUUGUUCGGUUUCUUUGUCGAUGAAUUUAAAAUAAUGGCCAGAAGGAAAAAGCAAAUAAAAUUGUUCUGAUUUGGUUUUGCUUGUUUGUUUUUAUGUCUUUUUGUUGAUGCUGUGUCCAGUCAGUUGUGGGCUUUCUCUCAGAGUACCUGCUCAUAUCCUUUUACAUUGCCUGCACUGGCUGAAUAUGAGAAAGCAAGGGAGAGAGGGUCUCUCCUCAAGGGGUCUUUCCAGGAUUGUGCUUGUAGGUAUCAUUGCAUUCCCCUUUCAUUUUUCAGGAUGUUUUUAUCUUUUGUUUUAUAUCAUAUAGUUCCAAGUUUAGUAUCUCUUGGAGGUGAGAAACUGCUGCUGUGUUCAAGGUCUUCUCAAGUGUUAACCAUUGGCAUUGCCAUUCUUUCAAAGUGUGCCUACUUUUGACAUCCACAUUGCUCUUCUGCAUUUUUGGUUCUCUGCCAUUGCUGAGUAUGUUCAUAAAAGUCAUAAAAGUCAGGAGAAUAUCUAAAUCCAGUGUUGUAAACCUUCUCUUUGGCUUCUGGGGGAGGGAUGGGGAUGUUGGUGUGGUUUGGUUUUCCUUGUUUUUGUUUUUUGUAACUCCUGAAGCAUGUUGUGGUCAAAUUCUCAGUAGAAGGAGCCCUUCAGAUAUGCUAUCUGUGUGGUGUCUGCUCGCUGUGCCAGGAGGGGAGCUCCCAGCCUUGCAAACAGCAGGCUUGUGGUUGCCUUGAGACUGUAUAUUGAGCUGAGAUGACUGAAGAACCAAAGUGGCUCAUGAAGUCGAGGACAGUAGCCUGCAGCGAUGAUGGCAGCAAAGUUUGUUCUCUCAGCAGCAGAAGGAAAACCUGAACUGGGCAGAGAGAGGAUGAAGCCCUCCUGCGCACCCUUCAGAGGCACCACAAGCAACAGAAGCAGCUUCCUACUGGGCCAGCACAGAUGGAACUGACUUGAACAGUGUCACAUCUCAUUGAGGAUGAGCUUCGGUUCAUCUCCUCUUGUAACUGUGGCUAAGAAGAAGGUGGUGACAUGCUGAUCAAGGGCUGUUUUGGCUGCAGUGUAUGCACACGAACUCUGCAGCUCCAUGAGAACAGUAGGUCAUCCCUGGGCCAGUGGUAAUGCAGUGGUACAUCAGAAGCAAGUCUGUAUCAAUUCAUUUCACAUCUGGCACACUUUGUGUUUCAGAAACCACAUCAGUUACCUUCAAUCCAACUCCCACUGACCACACCGUUAAGAGUAUUUCUUAAUUAUUAUUUCUUAUUAUUAAGAGCCAGAUAGGAAAUGAACUGCGAGUAAAUACCUCAACAGUGCACUUACUGACCUUCAGCAUCUUCUGAAAUCCCACAACCCCAAAGAAACCCAUACAAAAAGUCAGCUCUGCAUUCUGCAACGUAACUGAUGUUUAUUACUUUAUUAAAUAGCCAAUUCUAAAGAACAGUAAAAAACAGGCAUCAUUUGGUGUUCUUAAAAAAAAAAACAAACACAACAUUUGUCCAAAAUAAAGACUGUUAGAAAAAUUAACAAGUUUGGCCCCAGAAAGCUACGUAUACCUUCUGCUCUCCAUGAGAAGUGCUGGGCAGUUAUAAAUACUGUUCCUUUUCAUCUAGCAAAGUUUAACAAUGUAUACAUUAGUAUUUCCAUUACAGUUUUUUUUUCACAUUUUUUCUGUAAACAAGAUCAAUAUAAAACUGCCUUGUUAGCAAGCUUAAGAAACUAUUGCGUUUCUGUACAGUAAAUACAAGUAAGACAAUCCUGGAUUUUCCUUCCAUUUUCAUCAGCAUUCCAUUUACCAAGACAUUAAAAAGAUUUCAAUUAGUACAAAAAUAUAAUCAGAGUAAAUGCCUGCGAAGAUUUCAGUGUUUGAGUGAGUCCUUGUUAACAGGCAAUGAAAAUGCUAUUGAGUUCUGAAUGUGAAGAUCUGUCUGUACAGCUUCUGCUCUUCUGAGAGCUGAGCAGCAUAGUGCUGUGUCCAAAGGCACUGGUUAUCCAUCUGAAAUGUUCACUUCUUAUUUACUAAAGGUAAUUUAACAUUGAGCUGAAUGAAAAACCGCUGUGUUUGGUCUAUGUGCAAAAAGGCAAAGCUGCUUAACAAACCCCACCAGUGGGCACCUGCUCUCCACAAGGCAGGGCUGACUUCUCAGAAUGCCUGCAGAACUUAGCAAGAACUGUGACUUCAGUUAGACCUCAGUCUGGUGUGGGUGACUGACUGGGCAACAUCACACACUUGUUCCUUCCCUGCAGAAACAGAAAUCCCUCUCUUGUUCUCUGCAGAGAAGUUUAAGACUCAAUGGAAAAUCUUCAUUACCAGUACUGCUGAAAUGGAGUGGCAGGAAUUAUUUUUUUCUGUCGCAGUACUGCUACUGACUCAUCAUUCUUCUAUCAAAU